rnacentral:rRNA from 1 species
GCUGGCGGCGUGCCUAACACAUGCCAAGUUCGAACGGGGUAAUUACUUCGGUGAUUACUUAGUGGCGAACGGGUGAGUAACGCGUGAGAAACCUGCCUUUCAGUGGGGGACAACAGUUGGAAACGACUGCUAAUACCGCAUAAUGUUAUUUGGGGGCAUCCCUGAAUAACCAAAGCUUUAUGUGCUGAAAGAUGGUCUCGCGUCUGAUUAGCUAGAUGGCGGGGUAACGGCCCACCAUGGCGACGAUCAGUAGCCGGUCUGAGAGGAUGAACGGCCACAUUGGGACUGAGAUACGGCCCAGACUCCUACGGGAGGCAGCAGUGGGGAAUAUUGGGCAAUGGGGGAAACCCUGACCCAGCAACGCCGCGUGAAGGAAGAAGGCCUUCGGGUUGUAAACUUCUUUUACCAGGGACGAAGAACGUGACGGUACCUGGAGAAAAAGCAACGGCUAACUACGUGCCAGCAGCCGCGGUAAUACGUAGGUUGCAAGCGUUGUCCGGAUUUACUGGGUGUAAAGGGCAUGUAGGCGGAGAUGCAAGUUGGGAGUGAAAUCCCGGGGCUCAACCCCGGAACUGCUUUCAAAACUGUAUCCCUUGAGUGUCGGAGAGGCAAGCGGAAUUCCUAGUGUAGCGGUGAAAUGCGUAGAUAUUAGGAGGAACACCAGUGGCGAAGGCGGCUUGCUGGACGAUAACUGACGCUGAGGCGCGAAGGCGUGGGGAGCAAACAGGAUUAGAUACCCUGGUAGUCCACGCUGUAAACGAUGAAUACUAGGUGUGGGAGGACUGACCCCUUCCGUGCCGCAGUUAACACAAUAAGUAUUCCACCUGGGGAGUACGACCGCAAGGUUGAAACUCAAAGGAAUUGACGG